GGAGUCGGCCGGACAGUCGCUCCGGCCUUGCGCCGGGGAGGAAAGUCCGGGCUCCGCAGGGCAGGGUGCCAGGUAACGCCUGGGGGGCGCGAGCCUACGGAAAGUGCCACAGAAAACAUACCGCCUAAGCGCUUCGGCGCCGGCAAGGGUGAAAAGGUGCGGUAAGAGCGCACCGCGCGGCCGGUAACGGUUCGCGGCACGGUAAACCCCACUCGGAGCAAGACCAAAUAGGGAAGCAAGCGGGUUCGCCCGCAGCGCGCGGCCCGCGCGUGUUUCCGGGUAGGUCGCUCGAGGCGCACGGUGACGUGCGUCCCAGAUGGAUGACUGUUCCCGACAGAACCCGGCUUACAGGCCGGCUCCCACG
rnacentral:RNase_P_RNA from 1 species